rnacentral:tRNA from 1 species
AGGGAUUAUGGUUCAGUGGUAGAACAUUUACUUGGCAUGCAGGAAAUCCCAGGUUCAAUCUCUGGUCUCUCUA